rnacentral:rRNA from 1 species
CCUACGGGAGGCAGCAGUGGGGAAUAUUGGGCAAUGGGCGCAAGCCUGACCCAGCAACGCCGCGUGAAGGAAGAAGGCUUUCGGGUUGUAAACUUCUUUUCUCAGGGACGAAGCAAGUGACGGUACCUGAGGAAUAAGCCACGGCUAACUACGUGCCAGCAGCCGCGGUAAUACGUAGGUGGCAAGCGUUAUCCGGAUUUACUGGGUGUAAAGGGCGGGUAGGCGGGGACGCAAGUCAGAUGUGAAAACCAUGGGCUCAACCUGUGGCCUUCAUUUGAAACUGUGUUUCUUGAGUACUGGAGAGGCAGACGGAAUGCCUAGUGUAGCGGUGAAAUGCGUAGAUAUUAGGAGGAACACCAGUGGCGAAGGCGGUCUGCUGGACAUCAACUGACGCUGAGGCGCGAAAGCGUGGGGAGCAAACAGGAUUAGAUACCCGGGUAGUC